CAGCAGCCGCGGGAAUACGGAGGAUCCAAGCGUUAUCCGGAAUCAUUGGGUUUAAAGGGUCCGUAGGCGGUCUUGUAAGUCAGUGGUGAAAGCCCAUCGCUCAACGGUGGAACGGCCAUUGAUACUGCAGGACUUGAAUUAUUGGGAAGUAACUAGAAUAUGUAGUGUAGCGGUGAAAUGCUUAGAGAUUACAUGGAAUACCAAUUGCGAAGGCAGGUUACUACCAAUUGAUUGACGCUGAUGGACGAAAGCGUGGGUAGCGAACAGGAUUAGAUACCCGAGUAGUCCCUGUCUCUUAUAC
rnacentral:rRNA from 1 species